AUUGGGCGUAAAGCGCGUCUAGGCGGCAAGGAAAGUCUGAUGUGAAAAUGCGGAGCUCAACUCCGUAUGGCGUUGGAAACUGCCUUACUAGAGUACUGGAGAGGUAGGCGGAACUACAAGUGUAGAGGUGAAAUUCGUAGAUAUUUGUAGGAAUGCCGAUGGGGAAGCCAGCCUACUGGACAGAUACUGACGCUAAAGCGCGAAAGCGUGGGUAGCAAACAGGAUUAGAUACCCUGGUAGUCCACGCCGUAAACGAUGAUUACUAGGUGUUGGGGGUCGAACCUCAGCGCCCAAGCUAACGCGAUAAGUAAUCCGCCUGGGGAGUACGUACGCAAGUAUGAAACUCAAAGGAAUUGACGGGGACCCGCACAAGCGGUGGAGCAUGUGGUUUAAUUCGAUGCAACGCGAAGAACCUUACCUGGUCUUGACAUAGUGAGAAUCCUACAGAGAUGUGGGAGUGCCUUCGGGAAUUCACAUACAGGUGCUGCAUGGCUGUCGUCAGCUCGUGUCGUGAG
rnacentral:rRNA from 1 species